GGGGAUGUAGCUCAGUGGCACAGCACCUGCCUGGCAAGCACGAGAUCCUGAGUUCAAUCCUUGGCACCCCCC
rnacentral:tRNA from 1 species